rnacentral:misc_RNA from 1 species
GUUUUCUUCCAUGGAGGUUGUAGAAUUAAAGGCACGGUUGCACUGCAAGGCCUGUGAGAAAGCAGUACGCAAAGCCUUAUGUAAGAUCAAAGGAGUGAGAUGCGUGCAGAUAGACAGCAAAUCAAACAAGAUCACAGUAUUGGGUUACAUGGAGACUAAAGUCAUAAUCAAAGCCAUAAGGAAGACAGGCCAGAGAGCAGAGGCUUUGCCUUCUUCUCAUCCCUAUGAGGCACCUAGUCCUAGGUUGCCUACUGGUUUUAGAUGCAUUAUUCCUAGAUGUGGUCUUUAGAUUGGGAUUUUUUUAAAAUUAUUAUUGCAGAUAUUUUAAGGGAUAAUAUAUUAUCAUAUAAGUGUUUUGUUGCUAUGAAUGUAAAUGCAUUGAGCCACUUGUGAAU